ensembl:lncRNA
UUUCCCUUUUUGUAGCUAUGUAGGAUGCAAUCUGAAAACAUAUUAAGGCAAAUAGCAGAUAGUGAAGCCUUCGUUUUACAGCACAGCAGACACUUUACUGAAACUGGGUAUCUCUCUAAGUCAGCCAGAAUGCAAGGCAAAGUCAGAGCAACGGGUUAAGAGACUUCAGUAGGCAUUUAAAACCUAACUGCUCCUCACCAUAGUAAGAUGUCUUAAUUAACUAUUUAUUCACUCUUGCUAGUGGUUUUAAACACACAAAUAUAACAUAACAACAGCCUUCUUACACAGAAAAUGGGAAAAAACUCAUUUGAAGUCAGGUUGUUCUGAUGUCUGCUAGCCGGAGCCUGGCAAAGCAGGAUUUGGCAAGAAAUCCGUAGGCAACUGUACUUGGGAAAAAUUUUGCUACCACCAUCAUUCCUAAGAGUGGUGCUGCCAAGUAUCCUGCUACAAGACAUUUCCUGUUCAUAAAGUGAAUGUGGUAAUUUCUUCUGUGGUAGUCAGCCUGAAUUACUUAGCACUGGCAAGAGUGAAGCACGCGAUCGUUGCAUGAUCUGAAAAUUUGCACUGCUGUGGUUUGGGUGGCAAAAGGACAUCAGAGAGACCAGGAGAGGGAUCUGAGUCCAGAACUUUCUUUGUACCAUGUAGCCCUGACACCCCAAAUAAGAAUCAGGACCAAACAACUCCACAUCUGGACGGUCAUCAUCUUCAGUUUGAAAGAGACCAUAAAGAGAAUCUUUUCUACAGAAAUAUGUAGAAGUCAACUACUAAGCCUGCUACAUGGUAGAUGCUGAGAGGACAGUUUCCUACAGGACCCUACAAGAAGAUCCCUGAACAAACAAAUGCCUGCUCUUUUGCAGCCCAGGGUCUUGUUCACUCCUCUCAAGAUACUAAAGUCCAUGAGUCUCACUGUCACCUGCAGCAAAGCAGCACAUCCAGCAGAGCACCUACCCUCACCUACAGCCUACUGCAUCAUCAGUCACCCUGCAGCAAGGAACCGUCUUCAAUACAUUUCAGAAACCUCAUGAAUUGGUUGUGCCCAGUCAUAUUGCCCUUCCAACAGAUAUCUGGAUGGUUCUAGUCACAGAUGACAGGGUUUGUGACUGACAUUCCCUACAGCUUCUUAAAGAUGUUUUCGCCUGGCUCCUUUUUGUGACCAAAUGGCCAGCUGCAGAUACCCACUACAGCAUCACCUGCACUGUCUGUUCUCUCAUUCUUACCCACAAGCUUUCUACUGGCUAAUCACCUCUUUUGAGGCAAAACUCCACACAUACAGUCCCCUUACACUGAGCCCAACCUCUGCAUCACUGCUAUCCAUCAUGUCAUUCUUACAUCCUUCCAUUGCAUCACUCUAGUCAUAAGAGCUAUCCUAUCACAUCUCCACAAUCUCUACAAGGUCUGAGCUCUGCAGCUGUGCAUAUGCUGUCAGUCUGCUUGUUCCUCAUGCUACGUGCAUUUCUGUACAGAUCAUUGGGAUGGUUCCCAAUCUAUGCUUCUUUCACUGAGCAAAGAGUGAGAAUCUGCCCUGUCACGCUGUCUCUCAGAACUGAUCCACCACUUGCG